rnacentral:rRNA from 1 species
UGGGGAAUAUUGGACAAUGGGGGCAACCCUGAUCCAGCAAUGCCGCGUGUGUGAAGAAGGCCUGCGGGUUGUAAAGCACUUUGAGUGGGAAAGAAGGCCUGGUGGCUAAAAUCCGCUGGGAUUGACGUUACCCACAGAACAAGCACCGGCUAACUCCGUGCCAGCAGCCGCGGUAAUACGGAGGGUGCGAGCGUUAAUCGGAAUUACUGGGCGUAAAGGGCGCGUAGGCGGUUGGCUAAGUCUGAUGUGAAAGCCCUGGGCUUAACCUGGGAAUGGCAUUGGAAACUGGUUGGCUAGAGUGUGGUAGAGGGGUGUGGAAUUUCCGGUGUAGCAGUGAAAUGCGUAGAGAUCGGAAGGAACACCAGUGGCGAAGGCGGCACCCUGGACCUUCACUGACGCU